rnacentral:rRNA from 1 species
CAGCCGCCACGGUAAUACGGAGGGUGCAAGCGUUAAUCGGAAUUACUGGGCGUAAAGCGCACGCAGGCGGUUUGUUAAGUCAGAUGUGAAAUCCCCGGGCUCAACCUGGGAACUGCAUUUGAAACUGGCAAGCUAGAGUCUCGUAGAGGGGGGUAGAAUUCCAGGUGUAGCGGUGAAAUGCGUAGAGAUCUGGAGGAAUACCGGUGGCGAAGGCGGCCCCCUGGACGAAGACUGACGCUCAGGUGCGAAAGCGUGGGGAGCAAACAGGAUUAGAUACCCGGGUAGUCCCUGUCUCUUAUAA